ACAGUAUGAAAACCAAUAAAUUUUUCAGACAAAAUCCUUUUUUAAGUCCUGUUCCGAACGGAUUUGGUAGGAUUUGGAAGUACUAUUUCUUCUAGCAAAAAUUCGUCCGCCUUUAGUCCAGACGAAACGCCAGUUUUUAUUACGGCCAAGCUGCUCACGAGCAAGAUGGAAUAGUUUCCGGUUUUUUAUAUUAAUGUUUAAAAGUUUAAGACUGUCUGCCUUGCCUACCUCAUUCAUGAGUUUAAGCGUCACAUGUUAUUUACUGUAAUAUACUUAUUUGUUAUAAAAUUAAAUGGAAAUAAUAAAUCUGAUAAAUUUUUAUUUUGUAUUGAUUUCUGCUUAACAUCAAGUGUAAGAACAUUUUAAUUAAUUGUGUUCAACGUACUUCCUCUUCAAAUCUCAAUCCUGUGAAUUUGUAUACCAACAUCAACAUUUUCGUCUUUGUAAUAAUUUCAUUGUACUAAAGGGUUAUAGUAGUAGAAAGUCAAAUAAGUAGAUCACCAUAUUUUUUUACGAAUACCAUCUGUGUGAAAAAGCAUAGUGGACUCCGUGACUGAUGUUCUCUUAUCGUUCCUCUUAGAUUGUUUACUAUAAUGUAAUAUAACAAAAACUUUAGCCACAGCAACGCGUGGCCGGGUCAGCUAGUCAAAUAUAUAUAUUGCAACAUUCACUUCCACUGGUCCAUCGCAAAGCACAAACAUUACUGAUCCACUGACUCAAGACAUUGUGUCGUACCAUUGUCCCAUUAUAUUCGAAAUUAAUAGCCUCAUCCCGCGACCACUUUAAAUACGGUCAUGCCAAUUGGCUAUAUUUAUAUAAUGGGCUAAUUAUAAAAAACAUAUUAACGAAGCCCUCCCGUUCCUCGGCUCCUUAAGGUUACACCAACUCCAAUUAGUGGACAACGCCAUACAAACUGACUGACGCUAUAAGCCAGUAACGCGAACGUCCCGACUUUCACACCAAAACACACGAACAAACUCCCACACGACUAAUUAAAUAAAAAAACCGAUACCGACACACGCAUAGAGACUACACACGCGUCGGUUUAACACUAUUAUCAAUUCACUUCAAUACCAAAUAUCUUUUAAAAUCAAAUUUCUAACUCCCAACGAAUGAAACAAAAAGGUCCAAUCGCUUAACACCUACGACAAUUCCCUAUGGCAGUUCGCGAGUCGCCUUAAAAAUGUGGGAUAGGGAGGGUGAAUAGCGCUUACUGGGUAAUUCGCUCACCUCUGUAACUCUGUUAAAAUUGAACCUAGCAAUAUGCCACGUCCCAUGAAGUGCGAGGGAACGGGAUCUCUAAUGUAGGCCAUACACGCUACGGUCUACCGGAGAGGUAAUCUGUGCAGGUUAUGCCUGCGCAGGUAGACCGGAAUGUGUGUGGGAAUAGACCUGUGCAGGUUUUUGAACCUGCGCAGGCGACCGGCGCAAGAUCGAAAAUCGAUUCUUUCCAGUGACACCGUACGGUGUACCUGUGCGUGUGUGCGUGUACUCCGGUCGCCUGCGCAGGUCGAGUCAGUUGUUUCCUAGUGUUUCUUUCAGACGGUUGUCUCAUCGCUCGCAUCUUAUUGCCAGAAAAUGGCGCCACCAGAUUCAACUAAAAAAAUCCUUGAAGAUUUUAUCGAAAUGUAUAGAAGUAAUCCAUGUCUUUGGCAAAUUAAAAACAAAGAUUACCAUAAUCGAGACAAAAAAGAAGCUGCUUAUAAAUUACUAAUAGACUUGAGAGAAAUUGAGCCAGGUGCGAACAAAGAUGUAGUUGUGAAAAAGAUCAAUAACUUAAGAAGCUAUGUUAGGAAGGAAAAGAAGAAAUAUGAGCAAUCUUUAAAGUCUGGGGCAUCUGCUGAUGAUGUGUACCGUAUUAAACUGUGAUACUACGAUUUGUUCAAUUUCAUUCAUGAUCAAUGCACUCCAAGGGAAUCUUCAUCCAACUUAGAUAGUGAUGACGAAAAUAGUUGUGAGAAAGACAACACUGAAGACUCUUCAAAUGCCGCUGAAGAAUAUUCAUCCAACAGCGUAUCUACCGACAACGAGGCUCGAUCAACAUCGUCAAAUAAUAAUAAUUCAUCUCGCCCACCAAAACCUUGUAAAACAAAAAGAAAAGAUGAAAGCUUAGCAAAUGAAGUAUUGGAAUCGGUACGAGAUCACUUUAAGCGUCCUCGCCCAAUUGUAACAGAAGAUAGGUGCGAUAUUAUUGGAAAAAAUGUGGCGAUGAAAUUGAAGGCUUUAGAUGCGAAACAAAUAAUAGUCGCAGAAAAACUUAUAAAUGAUUUACUUUUUGAAGCAGAAAUAGGAAACCUCACUCCCGAGCAUGCCUAUAUUAACAUGAGAGAUAUUUUGAAACAAAAUCAACGAAGCUAUGUUCCUGCUCAGCAAUAUCGACAACAUGCAUAUCAGUCCUCUCCUAAUUACAAUAGGGCAUAUACCCCUGUAAGUUUUGUUUCUUCCGGAAGUCCUAGUCCACCCUGCCUUCCAUUUCCCACUAGUCAAAAUUCAGAGUAUAUUCUCAAUCAUUUCAUACUAGCCAUCUACUCAACAGUUCCCAAGGCAAUCCUUACUCGCCACAAAUACGAACACCUACAAUUCCAGGAAAUCAGCCCAAUGAAACAGAUGUAGUUUUAUCGAUUCCAGAUUCGGCAGCGACAUUCCUUAAUAAUUUCAAUGUUGAUAAUUAAUAAUUUGUACGCGACAGUUUUGUACUUUAAUGAUUAAAAUUAAAAUCGUAUUUUUUUCAAUAAAUAUUAUCUGUAAUA